GUGAAGACCUUUGUAGUCAACCUCCUGAGCUACAGCAAGAAUGUCUAUGGGGACCUGCACUGGUCAACAACUUCUGUCAAGCAACACGCGUUGCAACGUACUGUCCAAUCCCAUCUUCCGGACAGACAUGGACCAUAACAAAGACGUACCUCUUCCACGGAGAGUCCAAAAUCGUUCGGCGUCACCUUUCGAUAAUGAAACCUGGUCGGCAUCCCACCAACGAUGUCUUCAAAGUCAAGCUUGUAGUACUCGUCAAAGUACUCCUCGAAUGAUUUCUCCGCUGCAAUGUUAGAGGCAGCCUUUUAGCGGACUCGGAGUGGAACACAGCCGUAGAACCUAUGCUACAAAGUGUGCACAGCUGCACUGCCGCGCUACGUAUGAGAUUGAGGCUAAAAAGAGUGCAUAAAAAUUAUGAUCAAUGUGCCA